rnacentral:lncRNA from 1 species
CAGGAGACUUGUAAACGAACAUUCCGGAACAUUCCGUGAGUGUUGUGGAGAAUAAUUCGCAGUCGGCGUGGGCACUCCUAGGUGAGGCAAGCCUUCCAGAAGGGUGAGCAAACAGGCCACAGAUCAUUCUGGAAGAGAAUCCGGCUCAUCCCAGGACGUUGGGUUUCAGCUGGCUAUCCCGCCCACAGGAUGCUGGCGCUGUUGAGGGACCCGUGCCAGUGCCCCAAGGUGGGGCGGGCAGGCUCCAAGCACAACUUGCUGCCAGGAGAACCACCAGCCUCCCACGUCUGCCAGGAGGCCCCUGAUGAAGAUUCGAGUGCUCUGGCCCUCCAGCCCACGUCUGGGGGACAUGCUUAGGCAGUGAAGUGGAGAAAGGAACCCCAAUCAUCAGCCCCUCUUUUCUGCUCGUGGUCUGCUCUGCAAGGGCCCCGGGGAACCCCCCCACUGGCAGGUUUAUGAUGCUUGGGUUCUCUGAGUCCCGCUCUCAGGGAGGAAGAAGGGGGGAGUCGGGCCAAGAGAAG